CAGUAGCCGCGGUAAUAAAGAGGAUGCGAGCGUUAUCUGGAAUGAUUGGGAAUAAAGUGUCUGUAGGUGGCUUUUCAAGUCCGCCGUCAAAUCCCCGAGCUCAACCCUGGACAAGCAGUGGAAACUACCAAGCUGGAGUACGGUAGGGGUAGAGGGAAUUUCUGGUGGAGCGGUGAAAUGCGUUGAGAUCGGAAAGAACACCAACGACGAAAGCACUUUGCUGGGCCGACACUGACACUGAGAGACGAAAGCUAGGGGAGCAAAUGGGAUUAGAUACCCCGGUAGUCCCUGUCUCUAUACA
rnacentral:rRNA from 1 species